rnacentral:rRNA from 1 species
GUUUACGGCCACACCACCCUGAGUCUGGCUCGGAAGCUAAGCAGGGUCGGGCCUGGUUAGUGCUUGGAUGGGAGACCGCCUGGGAAUACCAGGUGCUGUAAGCU